UACGGGGGGGGCAAGCGUUGUUCGGAAUUACUGGGCGUAAAGGGCUUGUAGGUGGCCAACUAAGUCAGACGUGAAAUCCCUCGGCUUAACCGGGGAACUGCGUCUGAUACUGGAUGGCUUGAGUGUGGGAGAGGGAUGCGGAAUUCCAGGUGUAGCGGUGAAAUGCGUAGAUAUCAUUUGGAACGCCAAUGGUGAAAACAGGUAGCUGGGAGUGUGCUGACGCUGAGACACGAAAGCCAGGGGAGCAAACGGG
rnacentral:rRNA from 1 species